GGUUGUGGCUCAGUGGUAGAGCGCUUGCCUAGCAUGUGUGAAACACUUGGUUUAAUCCCAGGAACCA
rnacentral:tRNA from 1 species